CGCUAUACCGCAUACGUCCUGAGGGAGAAAGUGGGGGAUCUUCGGACCUCACGCUAUCAGAUGAGCCUAGGUCGGAUUAGCUAGUUGGUGGGGUAAAGGCCACCAAGGCGACGAUCCGUAACUGGUCUGAGAGGAUGAUCAGUCACACUGGAACUGAGACACGGUCCAGACUCCUACGGAGGCAGCAGUGGGGAAUAUUGGACAAUGGGCGAAAGCCUGAUCCAGCCAUGCCGCGUGUUGAAGAAGGUCUUCGGAUUGUAAAGCACUUUAAGUUGGGAGGAAGGGCAGUAAGUUAAUACCUUGCUGUUUUGACGUACCAACAGAAUAAGCACCGGCUAACUUCGUGCCAGCAGCCGCGGUAAUACGAAGGGUGCAAGCGUUAAUCGGAAUUACUGGCGUAAAGCGCGCGUAGGUGGUUCAGCAAGUUGGAUGUGAAAUCCCCGGGCUCAACCUGGGAACUGCACCAAAACUACUGAGCUAGAGUACGGUAGAGGGUGGUGGAAUUUCCUGUGUAGCGGUGAAAUGCGUAGUAUAGGAAGGAACACCAGUGGCGAAGGCGACCACCUGGACUGAUACUGACACUGAGGUGCGAAGCGUGGGGAGCAAACAGGAUUAGAUACCCUGGUAGUCCACGCCGUAAACGAUGUCGACUAGCCGUUGGGAUCCUUGAGAUCUAGUGGCGCAGCUAACGCGAUAAGUCGACCGCCUGGGGAGUACGGCCGCAAGGUUAAACUCAAAUGAAUUGACGGGGGCCCGCACAAGCGGUGGAGCAUGUGGUUUAAUUCGAAGCAACGCGAAGAACCUUCCUGGCCUUGACAUGCUGAGAACUUUCCAGAGAUGGAUUGGUGCCUUCGGGAACUCAGACACAGGUGCUGCAUGCUGUCGUCAGCUCGUGUCGUGAGAUGUUGGGUUAAGUCCCGUAACGAGCGCAACCCUUGUCCUUAGUUACCAGCACCCGGGUGGGCACUCUAAGGAGACUGCCGGUGACAAACCGGAGGAAGGUGGGGAUGACGUCAAGCAUCAUGGCCCUUACGGCCAGGGCUACACACGUGCUACAUGGUC
rnacentral:rRNA from 1 species